AAAUCGUCGAGGCACAUCGGACGCUGAUUUAUUUUGUCGGAAAAAAUGAAAGCUACUUAUAUGGCUGUGAUAUAGUGGAUGUUACCCGCGUGAUAAGAUGUCAGUGAAAUUGUGAUGUGAUACAAAACACGGAUACAAAUAUGUUCGAAAAGUAACGAUGGGCAACCCAUUCAAACUGCUGCAAAGAGAAGCCUAAUUAAUUUCUAGCGAGUAAGCGAGGGAAAGUUUGCAUUUUUAGAUGUUAAAACUGCCGCUCAAGGACCAUAGAAAAGAAAGUGACAUUCUUACGUAAAAUAUGUAAGCCACUGUCAUUGGGUUGCUAAAAUGACAAUGGGUUCAAUAAUUACGUCAAGUGAGGUUUCUUUGAGACCACGAAAUCCGUAGUUAAUGCUUAAUUCUUUUUAUUUUCAUUUUUGCAUUCGUUGAUCAUUCUGGAAAUUAUUGUUACAAUUAACAAUAUUAAACGAUGUUAAAUGUUAGUAAGGGCACUUAUUCUAACGUAUAAAUUUUUCUACAUCGGUUUGCGCUACGCGAAUUAUUGGCUCGAUCGACUUUGAUUAAAAAUAAAAACCCUGUAAAAUUUGGAAAUAGAUGUGCAUCUCCCGCACUUACAACCAGAGUAUCGAAAGUAAAUAACGAUAAAAGUCGAACAAAUUUACAUCAAAAGCGACGUGAAUUCGCUGCACGGGGCUUCAGUCUCAAUAAAAGUAAGCGCAAGUUAUAUUAAGAUUUUCUAGUAAUUAUGUUAACAAUAUCACUGACUCCUAAGUAUUGUUUCGUCUAUGAAAUCAAAUCAAUAAUUUAUUGGCUACGUUCUAUAUCGAAGAUCACAUGGAUAUUUGUGUAACAUAUUGGUGGUUUAUCAUAUCGCUUCAAAGAUUUUUAUGUAUACAGGGUGAGUUUUUUAGAGUGACUACUGCGAUGAUAUCAGAAAAUCGGUUUUAAUUUGUUAAGUUUAAAAUGUUGAAAAAUGAGCAUAGCAGUGUUUGAGUACACAUGUGAGGCCCAACUUUGGUUUUUUUUACGGAAUUCCCUAUUUUGCGGAUUUGGCAGACACUGAAGUGUUCGAGCAUUUAUUUUGAUUAUUUUUUGAACAUUACUAAGCGUUUCAAAACCACCGGGAAUAGAGUCAC